AAACUUUGAAUCAUUGGCCUCUGAAUGCUUAACAAAAACCCCUCCAAAUCACUCAUUCUUCUCUCACACCGUUAAUAAUCUCACCUACACAUUCCUCAUCGACCCUACCUUCGUUAUCUUCGCUAUCUUCGAUCACCACCUUCUCAAAUCUCAUGCACUCGCUUUCCUUAACCGUGUCAGAUCCUCCCUCAUCGAAACCCUAAAUCAAAAUGACAACUUUGUCCCUUUCUCCCUUCAGACACAAUUCGAUUCAGUUUUCAACGAAACCCUAAAUUUCUAUGAUUUAUCUCCUUCCGGUAACGAGAAGAGUUCGCCGUUGACCACGCUUCCUCUAAUUGGGAAACCUGGUGAAGGCUUGAAGAAAAAGAAGAGACUUAUUGACGAUGGAAAAGACGCUGCGUUGGUUGAUUUAUCAGACGACGCCGUUUCGUUGCCGUUUGCAAAGGUGAAUGAUCGUCAGAAAGCGAAGCAUGUAUGGAAAAAGCACGUUUGGGUUGUGUUGUUGCUUGAUUUGUUUGUUUGUGCGGUUUUGUUUGUUAUUUGGUUAUGGGUUUGCAGCGGUUUCAAAUGCAUGGCUUAUUGAAUUUUCAAAUCCCAAAUUUUUCUUCAAGAAGAAAAAAUGGCCACUUUUUUUUUUUUUUUUCUGUUACGGUUUUUUUUGUCCCUUCUAUGAGGGGAUUCUUAGUUUCUCGUUUAAUGGAAGUGCAGAAUAUAGAUUUGGAGGAAAAUCGGUAUUUCCAUGUAAUUGGGGUUUCGGUUGCUUUUUCAUCAGUUUUUUUUUUUUGUUCCUUUUUUCUUGAUGGAAAUUGCAUCCGAAGAUCUUGUUAUUUUCCGGACAAUCCUGGUCUGAUCGUGUUUUGUCUCAUACAAUUGUUUGAGAAUUUGUAUUUGCUCAAUUGUGCAAAGUUACAGUUUCCUCAUUUCAGGUGUUUAAUAUCUGUUCUAUAUACUGACUACUGAGCAUUAUUGAUUGUUACUUACUUUUCCUUAUGCUUUAAUUUUUAUGAUGUUGUAGUCUUUUAUUAUUUGAAUUUCACAGUUUCAUGGAUUUGUCUUUGAUUAGUAGUUGAGUUUAGCUUAGGUAUUUGUUAUGUCCUUAUGUGAAUGGUCAUUUGAAUAGGUUAGAUGAGGUUGCUUGAUGUAAUGAUAAGCUUUAUAUUUGAACAAUAUGGCCACCAAUCCUAACAUAACAUAGUUAGUUCUGAAAAGUUCAUCAGUUGAAGGGUUGAGGCUUUUUUUCUCCUUUGGCUAUAUAUAAUUUGGUAUAAUAACGAUGUCUAAUCAAUUUUGAUCCUAAAUACUUUUCUAGACGACACAAAAUAAAGAUAUUUUUGUAGAAAACUUGAAAUUCUAUUCCUCCAAAAAACCAACCCAAAAGGAAUGUGGUGGCAUGAUGAUGAUCUUCGCUAUCUUCGAUCACCACCUUCUCAAAUCUCAUGCACUCGCUUUCCUUAACCGUGUCAGAUCCUCCCUCAUCGAAACCCUAAAUCAAAAUGACAACUUUGUCCCUUUCUCCCUUCAGACACAAUUCGAUUCAGUUUUCAACGAAACCCUAAAUUUCUAUGAUUUAUC
rnacentral:lncRNA from 1 species